AGAGUUUGAUCCUGGCUCAGAAUCAACGCUGGCGGCGCGCUUAACACAUGCAAGUCGAACGAGAAAGCCCGCAAGGGUGAGUAAAGUGGCGUACGGGUGAGUAACACGUGGGUAAUCUACCUUUUGGUGGGGAAUAACGCUGGGAAACCGGCGCUAAUACCGCAUAAGCUCGGAAGAGGAAAAGAGAAAUCUGCCGAAAGAGGAGCCCGCGGCUGAUUAGCUAGUUGGUGAGGUAAAGGCUCACCAAGGCUGUGAUCGGUAGCCGGCCUGAGAGGGCACACGGCCACACUGGCACUGAAACACGGCCCAGACUCCUACGGGAGGCAGCAGCCAGGAAUCUUGGGCAAUGGGCGAAAGCCUGACCCAGCAACACCGUGUGGGCGAUGAAGGCCUUAGGGUCGUAAAGCCCUGUUGAUAGGGACGAAGGGCGAAGGGUUAAUAGCCCCUAGCUUGACGGUACCUUUCGAGGAAGCCCCGGCUAACUACGUGCCAGCAGCCGCGGUAAUACGGAGGAUGCAAGCGUUAUCCGGAAUUAUUGGGCGUAAAGCGUCCGUAGAUGGUUUUGCCAGUCGGCUGUCAAAGCACAGGGCUUAACCCUGUAAAGGCAGUGGAAACUACAAGACUAGAGUGCAGUAGGGGCAGAGGGAAUUCCCAGUGUAGCGGUGAAAUGCGUAGAGAUUGGGAAGAACACCCGUGGCGAAAGCGCUCUACUGGACGGCAACUGACACUCAGGGACGAAAGCUAGGGGAGCGAAUGGGAUUAGAUACCCCCGUAGUCC
rnacentral:rRNA from 1 species